rnacentral:rRNA from 1 species
GAGCCCGCGUAGGAUUAGCUUGUUGGUGAGGUAAAGGCUCACCAAGGCGACGAUCCUUAGCUGGUCUGAGAGGAUGAUCAGCCACACUGGGACUGAGACACGGCCCAGACUCCUACGGGAGGCAGCAGUGGGGAAUAUUGGACAAUGGGCGAAAGCCUGAUCCAGCAAUGCCGCGUGAGUGAUGAAGGCCUUAGGGUUGUAAAGCUCUUUUACCCGGGAUGUGACAGUACCGGGAGAAUAAGCCCCGGCUAACUCCGUGCCAGCAGCCGCGGUAAUACGGAGGGGGCUAGCGUUGUUCGGAAUUACUGGGCGUAAAGCGCACGUAGGCGGCUUUGUAAGUUAGAGGUGAAAGCCCAGGGCUCAACCCUGGAAUUGCCUUUAAGACUGCAUCGCUCGAAUCAUGGAGAGGUGAGUGGAAUUCCGAGUGUAGAGGUGAAAUUCGUAGAU